ensembl:snRNA U1 U1 spliceosomal RNA
AUACCUACUUAGAAGGGGAGAUACCAUGAUCACAAGGUGGCCCUCCUAGGGUGAGUCUUAUCCAUUGCACUCCAGAUGUGCUGAGCUGACCCCUGCAAUUUCUCCAAAUGCAGGAAACUUGACUGCAUGAAA